UUCCUGCAUGGGUUUUGUUGCCUUGGCUUUAUUUAUUUAUUUUAAGGUUACAGAGCAUCAAAGAAACAUAGGAAGCCGGGGACGUCUGUCACUAUAGAAAUGCUACCUCGCUGGAAGGGAAGUCAUUUCUAGCCAGACGACUCAAUGUUUGUUAUCCUUCGGUUAAUACAGCCAAACGUAACUUGAGUACCUGAGGCAGCUGGAGCAAAAAACCAAGCUAACUUCAGCCCAUGCAUUAAGGAUUCUCCGUCUGAGAGCUGUCUCAAGCAAAGCCCCUUGUUUUUGCUUUUUCAGGCUGACCGCCAACAAGAUAUAAAGAGGAAGCUGGGCAUCCCUGAUAAUAUUAAGGGCCCGUGGUAAAUGGCAGUGCGUGCGAGACACCACUUACAGUACGUUUGUGCGUGAAGCCUCCUCUGGAUAAUCUGAUACCUUCAUAGCACCCAGCAGCCUAAUUUGGCUUCAAAACACGGAGUUUCUCCCUCUUCUGACUCCACGAAGACAAGCAACAUUUGGAAAGCUUUCCCAACAAACCAAGAUAAGGUUCGCUGCUUCUGAAAGUAUGCAUUGUUAGUAGCCACAUGGAUAUUUACAAGCCUACCGUAAAAAAUAAACAUGUCGUGGCACUGGACUGAAAGCCAAGAAAAACUGAUCUAACAUCUAAGAACACGGGCUGCAGCGCUGGGUUUCAUGAGCUGUGUGUGGGAAGCCUCAGAAGUUUGGAUGCUCCACCAGGACCUGGAACCACAAAGGUGCUGCACAGUUGGUUUUCCCUUUUCAGUUUGGUUGACUGGUUUCUCAUGAAAUUUGGCUUGGUUUGGUCUUAUUCUUCAUUCUUCUCAGCUGUUUUGCCUGCAGAGGCUGGUGUUGGAAGCUCGGCGUGAGAAUCGCCUUUCCUUUUCGUCCUAGCUAUUAAGAAGUGAGGACACUCCGGAGCUCUCGCGGAGGGACGCGGGUGAAAUUCCAGCCUCAUGGCGGAGACGCGUGCCUGGUCGAUGGGUUGGGACCCCUCAUCUCUCCUUAAGUGUGGGUUUUAAGUUGUCAUGCAAAGUGAAAUGUUGUCAACGGGUGAAACCGAGCUGCGCCUUUCUUCCUCCCUUUGCGUGUCAUCUCAUACGCUCAGGACAGGCAUCUAGAGGACACAAGGUGUCUGCAUCAUCUGGAAGCGACAUCCACUGAAAUGUUUCCUAGAAAA
rnacentral:lncRNA from 1 species